GCAUACCUCAGUUGAUUAGAGCGUGGUACUGAUAAUGCCAAGGUUGUGGUUUGAGUCCCGUACAGGUGCG